rnacentral:rRNA from 1 species
UGGGGAAUUUUGCGCAAUGGGGGAAACCCUGACGCAGCAACGCCGCGUGGGUGAUGAAGGCCUUCGGGUCGUAAAGCUCUGUCUGGAGGGAGAAAUGAUUGGGAGCUAAUACCUCUUGAUCUUGACGGUACCUCUGACGAGCACCGGCUAACUCCGUG